ACACCUGUGGCUUCGCUGUGCUUGUGUCACUCCACCACCUGACUCGCUCCCUCUCUUCCCUCUCUCCUCUGCAGUAGCCCCGCGCCACCUGGCUCCCUUGCAUCAAAAGUCUCUUCCGCCAUCUGACUCUUCCUCAUACCUGUCUCUUGAGUUACCGCGACCACCUGCGCCUCCCUCUCGAACUCUCCUGAGACAAAUACACCGGGUUUUCCCUGACUUUCCUGCCUCUCCUCUUCAUCUAACAAUCCUUCCUGACCCUCCUGCCUCUGCCAAUUCUCAUUCACUUCAUCAACUCUUCCUCUCCCCCUCUCCCUUUUCGGCUGACAAAGUCUGCCCCACCUGCCACCUAAGAGACAGAAUCACCUCCCUGGCAAACCCUCCUCCGCCACCUACAACCCUCCACCUGCCACCUACCACCUCCCAAGACAGAAUCCAACACCACCUGACAGAACCCCCGCCCCCCUCGCCCACCACCUACCACCUGAAGUGAGAGAAUCCAGCACGACAAGGGGCCAGGAAUCCGCACGCAGGUCUUGCAGGACGGCCCCUCGCUCCUCGGGGAUGUGCUUGAUGGUGAUCACGGUGACGAUGGCGAUGGUAAUGGUGGAAGUAGCGUGAUAAGUGAUGACGGAUAAAUGGUAGUGGCUGAUGACGUUGGAUGUGAUGAUGAUGUAUAGUGAUGGUAGUCAUAUUGUAAAAGCAUUGAAAAUGAUGAUGAUAAUGAUACCAAGGAUAUCAUUAACAUUGUGAGUACCAAGGGUACUCACAAUGUUAAUUAUUGUACAAGUGUUGGCGAUGAUCAUUACGGCAAUCAUAAAAGUGAAAAUAACUGUGAAGAUCUUGAACUACAGAAAAGGGAGGAGGAAGGGAAUCAAAACACAAAACAUGGAUAUUAACCAUCUCUGAAUCCAAUAAACACUGAAAAGGCAUGAACAUUAUGAUGUAUAAAAUGUUAAGUUACAUAAUGGAACAAAACUAAGUCUGUCGUUCGUUGUAGUAUAAAAUGAAAAAAACAGCAAAAUAACACAGAGCCAUCUGCAAUACCUCAUGGUUGCAAAUAAUUUUCAGGAAUACCAAGUAAGCUGAGAAUAGUCAUUGCAAACAGAGAAUGCGGGUGGAAUAAAAAUAAAAAUAAAGAAAUAUAAAUACGAAUAAGACGAAAUAUAUUUCUUUUAUUCAAAGAGACGACAGGGUUUGUUAUGCAGUGUUCAAAUACAACGUUCGCACAAUUGUUUCUGUUAUUAUUUAGUCACUGUUUUUGUUCUUGCUCUGGUCAGGCUGAAUGUUCUUUUGUUUAUUAUUGUUUGUUUUUUUGCCCUUUCUUCCUUUGUUUUCUUUCUUCUUCUUCUUGUCUUUACGCGUAAUCAUAUCUUCUUUUCGUUACUGUACUUGCAUUUCUGUCCUUAUUCUGGACUUUGUCCUUGUGACUCUUCCAGUCAUUUCCACCACUGGUCUCGCUUCCCUUCUUUUCUCACGCCUGUUCUUGUCUCUUUUCUUUUCUCGGCCCUGUUCUUGUUUUCGUUUUCAUUUAUAUUCUUGUUCUUGGCGGUUUCUUUGUUCUUAUUCUUUCCGUCAUCCCUGUCCCUGCGUUCGUUAUUUACUACAUAUCUCCUUGGAAUUUCUAUCAGUAACUGCUCCCGGGCAUCCUGGUACCGUCUCCUUUUAGCUGUAGUCGAAAACGUCUGACAAAAAAUUAAACCAAAAAUCUAUUUCGGAAUUCUAAGCCUAUGUUUUAGGUAUAAAAGUAAAAUUAAUUUCAAAACUGUAAAUAUACAUUCCAUUUUUGAAAUCUACCUUUUAAAAAGCUCUCGAAGUCGUCUAAACCCAGUUUUCCGUUUAAAUGUAAAUUUUAUUUUUUCCAAAUCUUAAAUUAUUUUUUUCUUCCCAUAAUCAAACUACAAACUCGCCAGAAUCUUAAACAAAAACAGAAUUUAUUUCAAAAAGCAAAAAUCAAAUCUUCGAAUAUCUUUACAUCUUCAUGCUAUAUAUCUCAAAAAAAAAAAAAAAAAAAAAAAAAAAAAAAAAAAAAAAA